rnacentral:rRNA from 1 species
UGAGCUUGAUCCUGGCUCAGAUUGAACGCUGGCGGCAGGCCUAACACAUGCAAGUCGAGCCGGUAGAGAGGAGCUUGCUCCUCUUGAGAGCGGCGGACGGGUGAGUAAUGCCUAGGAAUCUGCCUGGUAGUGGGGGAUAACGUUCGGAAACGGACGCUAAUACCGCAUACGUCCUACGGGAGAAAGCAGGGGACCUUCGGGCCUUGCGCUAUCAGAUGAGCCUAGGUCGGAUUAGCUAGUUGGUGAGGUAAUGGCUCACCAAGGCGACGAUCCGUAACUGGUCUGAGAGGAUGAUCAGUCACACUGGAACUGAGACACGGUCCAGACUCCUACGGGAGGCAGCAGUGGGGAAUAUUGGACAAUGGGCGAAAGCCUGAUCCAGCCAUGCCGCGUGUGUGAAGAAGGUCUUCGGAUUGUAAAGCACUUUAAGUUGGGAGGAAGGGCAGUAAAUUAAUACUUUGCUGUUUUGACCGUACCGACAG